rnacentral:rRNA from 1 species
GAUCGGAGUGAAAGGCUAAUCAAGCCCGGAGAUAGCUGGUUCUCCCCGAAAGCUAUUUAGGUAGCGCCUCGGACGAAUACCACAGGGGGUAGAGCACUGUUUCGGCUAGGGGGUCAUCCCGACUUACCAACCCGAUGCAAACUCCGAAUACCUGUGAGUACUAUCCGGGAGACACACGGCGGGUGCUAACGUCCGUCGUGAAGAGGGAAACAACCCAGACCGCCAGCUAAGGUCCCCAAAUACCAGUUAAGUGGGAAACGAUGUGGGAAGGCUC